AGAAUCAACGCUGGCGGCGUGCCUAACACAUGCGAGUCGAACGAGAAAGUGGAGCAAUCCAUGAGUAAAGUGGCGCACGGGUGAGUAACACGUGACUAACCUACCCUUGAGUGGGGAAUAACCUCGGGAAACCGGGGCUAAUACCGCAUAACACCUACGGGUCAAAGGAGCAAUUCGCUUAAGGAGGGGGUCGCGGCAGAUUAGUUAGUUGGCGGGGUAAUGGCCCACCAAGACGGUGAUCUGUAU
rnacentral:rRNA from 1 species